AUGGAAGGCAUGUCCAAAUUUAAAUUGAGGGUUUUGAAUCUUGAAAUCUUUUUUAAAGGCUUUAUCAUAGAAUUAAAAAUACUUAUUGCCCUGAAUGAGGUACAACUUGUAUUCAACUCACAUUCAAAAAUAAUAUCUCUUUCAUCCUUUAGUUUAUCUUGCUUGAAAUUAACAGUGAGAGGAGGGGCUGGUGGAAGAAACUUAUUUUUUUAUCUAUUUAUAUAUUUAUAUGUCAAGGCGUGUGGCAAAGGUUGACAGAGGUCAGUUUUAAUCCAGUGUUGUCACCAAUAUGAUGCUAUUGAUGCUAGUGCUUUGGUCCCGAUUCCACCAAUGUAGCACAAAUAUUUUUACUUAUGCUCAGUUAAAUAUUGUGUUUUAGGUCAUUAUUUUUGUAACAAUGUGCCUGAAAUAUCGUUUAAAUGAUGUCUAAACUUCCAAUGAUUCAAUUUGAGUCAUUAAUCUUGAAAAAACAUACUGCAAAGACAAGAUGAAGCAGAUCGAUGGUUAAAGAUGAAGAAUGCGUAUCCCACAUGCAACGUUUAAAAAUCUCUAAUUAUAUUCUUCCAGAUUAUUCUUCUAUUAUUUUCUUCCAGGAAAAUUAAACAGAACGUUUCCUUGCAAUUUUGUUUGAUUUUUGUAGAAUGAGUGAAGAAAAUUCACAGAAAAUUGUAAAGGAAACUUUGGGUUAAUUUUCCAUACAAAGAAAUAAAACAUUAGCGGACACUUACAAUGUCUUGACAGAAAAAUGGAUUUUUCGACUUUUGCCAUCGCGAUGUUGCAUUUUCUUUAAGUACUUUUGAAGAAGAUACGUAUACAUUUUAAGGAAUCAUUCAACAGUCCAACUUGGAUUUUCAUUAAGACUUUUAAAGAAAAGGAGAAAAGACUCCAUCAGAAGUAUCAAAACUUCAUUUGAUAGUGAUCAGGUCAUUGAAUACCCGAGCUGAAUAAUUAUUGUAUUGAAGUAAGUUUUAUGUAUCAUAAAAAGUACAAAAGUCCCAAGCAAUUUUUUUCUAUUUUUUAUAUGGUUGUUUCUUUUUUAAUGAAUACUGAUCUAAUUGUUAAUUUAAUGUUAUGAGUAUAUGGCAUGUUAUUAAAUCUUUACAAUAUAUAAAUUAUAAUUUUGAAGUUUUCUCUUUUU
rnacentral:lncRNA from 1 species